CUCAGCUGCCACCCAGGGAAGUCUCCAAAGAUGUUGCAAGCCCUAAUUCUGUCUUGGUUAGACAGAAAAAGGAGGGUGCUACAAGCUAUGGAGAAGCUGAGUGCUACUAGCUGAGGACUUGGUGUUGUUUAUUUGAGUUUGUGGUGGUGGGCGGGUUGUUUGUUUGUUGAGUUUUUUUUUUUUUCAGGAUCAAGGAUAUUGCUGUUAAGAACUAAGAUGAAACUCUUUACAAAUUUGCAAGAUGAACCAGUCCUCACUGCUGGUUAAUUCCUCCUGUGUUCCUGUGAGCUGUUGGAGGGGUCAUGGCAGAGGCAAGAUCCCCAUGGCUGCCAGACCAGAAGGAUCCCUGGGGUUGCCUGAAUGUGAUCUCCCACCAGUGGCCAUCGAAGGUCUUGGAGCCCUGCAAGUCCUCAUCAAAGAAUGUAAGAUUGUUGUGCCAGAUGCACCAAAUGGACACCUGGGACCCCGAUGUCAUACUCAGAAAAGGUGCUGGGCUGUGAUUCCAGCAUUCCAGCCUUUUGCUGUGCAUCCCACCAUGUGUGCAUGUCUGGAAGCCUCUGUCAGCAAUGGUGGGACAGCUCUGGAAUACACUGCUAAAAAACUUUCCUCUUGCAAUGAUGUGUUACUUUUUAUUCUAUUCCCCCUGAUUUUCUAUUCCUCCUGCAACUGCCAAUGCAGCAGUGGAUCUGCUCCGACAGAAGGGAUUGUUCUCCAUGUGUCUGUGAUGCCUCAGGUUUUAGCUUCUAUAUUUUUCAGAUUCUGUACUGCAUUCUGUACUGCUUCUGAGCUUCAUAUUAGGGGAUGGUGAGCUCUCUUCACAGAGUAGGUAGACAAAAAAAUUCCUUCUCUAGCUUGGGACCAAGGACAACUGACCCAAAUUUCAGGCCCAAGAGCAUAAACAACAUGGACUGAAGAGAGAAACACAAGAAGGAUGGGACAAUUAACCCCAAUAUGGAAAUGGAGCAGAACUUAUAAAAAUGAGAGACCCCGUGAGCCAUCAUGCAUUUUGUGACCAUUUUGGUUCAUCUUGGGUGUAGCCCUGGC
rnacentral:lncRNA from 1 species